GAGAGUGCAGCUCAGUGGUACAGCGCAAGCUUAGCAGGCCUGAGGUCCUGGGUUCAAUCCCCAGGACCUUCA
rnacentral:tRNA from 1 species